AAUCUACCUUCUGGUCGGGGACAACCACUGGAAACGGUGGCUAAUACCGGAUAUGCCUUCGGGUAAAAGAUUUAUUGCCAGAAGAGGAGCUCGCGUCUGAUUAGCUAGUUGGUAGGGUAAAAGCCUACCAAGGCAUCGAUCAGUAGCUGGUCUGAGAGGACGAUCAGCCACACUGGGACUGAGAUACGGCCCAGACUCCUACGGGAGGCAGCAGCGGGGAAUUUUCCGCAAUGGGCGAAAGCCUGACGGAGCAAGACCGCGUGAGGGAAGAAGGCUCUUGGGUCGUAAACCUCUUUUGUUAGGGAAGAACACAAUGACGGUACCUAACGAAUCAGCCUCGGCUAACUCCGUGCCAGCAGCCGCGGUAAUACGGAGGAGGCAAGCGUUAUCCGGAAUUAUUGGGCGUAAAGCGUCCGCAGGUGGCGAUUCAAGUCUGCGGUCAAAGACUGGGGCUUAACCCUGGAAAGGCCGUGGAAACUGAAGAGCUAGAGUGCAGUAGGGGUAGAGGGAAUUCCCGGUGUAGCGGUGAAAUGCGUAGAGCUCGGGAAGAACAUCGGUGGCGAAAGCGCUCUGCUGGACUGCAACUGACACUCAGGGACGAAAGCUAGGGGAGCGAAUGGGAUUAGAUACCCCAGUAGUCCUAGCCGUAAACGAUGGAUACUAGGUGUGGCUUGUAUCGACCCGAGC
rnacentral:rRNA from 1 species